rnacentral:rRNA from 1 species
GACAGAGGCCUCAAGCGUUAGGCGGAAUCACUGGGCUUAAAGCGUGUGUAGGCGGACGCCUAAGUGUCUUGUGAAAUCCCCCGGCUCACCCGGGGAACUGCUGGGCAUACUGGGCGUCUUGGGCCAACUAGGGGCAGCCGGAACAAGCGGUGGAGCGGUGAAAUGCGUAGAUAUCGCUUGGAACGCCGAAGGUGAAAACAGGCUGCUGGGGUUGCGCCGACGCUGAGACACGAAAGCCAGGGGAGCAAACGGG